rnacentral:rRNA from 1 species
GACGAACGCUGGCGGCGUGCCUAACACAUGCAAGUCGAGCGGGGAUUUAAGUGGAAGUUCUUCGGAAUGGAGAUUUAAAUUCUAGCGGCGGACGGGUGAGUAACGCGUGAACAAUCUGUCCCGGACAGGGGGAUAACACUUGGAAACAGGUGCUAAUACCGCAUAAGACCACGGCCUCGCAUGGGGCUGAGGUACAAGGAGCAAUCCGGUUCGGGGUGAGUUCGCGUCCGAUUAGCUAGUUGGUGAGGUAACGGCCCACCAAGGCGACGAUCGGUAGCCGGCCUGAGAGGGUGAACGGCCACAUUGGAACUGGGAGACGGUCCAAGCUCCUACGGGAGGCAGCAGUGGGGAAUAUUGGGCAAUGGGCGAAAGCCUGACCCAGCAACGCCGCGUGAGGGAAGAAGGUUUUCGGAUUGUAAACCUCUGUCCUAUGGGACGAAGGAAGUGACGGUACCAUAGGAGGAAGCCCCGGCUAACUACGUG